rnacentral:tRNA from 1 species
GCCGUUGUAGCUCAGCUGGUAGAGCAGCUCACUCGUAAUGAGCAGGUCGGAGGUUCGAGUCCUCUCAACGGCACCA